GGUUGAUCCUGCCAGUAGUCAUAUGCUUGUCUCAAAGAUUAAGCCAUGCAUGUCUAAGUAUAAGCACUUAUACUGUGAAACUGCGAAUGGCUCAUUAAAUCAGUUAUAGUUUAUUUGAUAGUACCUUACUACUUGGAUAACCGUGGUAAUUCUAGGGCUAAUACAUGCAACAAAUCUCGACUUCUGGAAGAGACGUAUUUAUUAGAUAAAAAACCAACCCUUCGGGUUCUUUGGUGAAUCAUGAUAACUUUUCGAAUCGCAGGGCCUUGUGCCGGCGAUGGUUCAUUCAAAUU
rnacentral:rRNA from 1 species